AAUAAGUAAAGAGGCAUGCGCGGUAGCGUAAAAAGAAUAGAGAGAGGAAUCCGCGAAUGGGAAAGCAGCGAAUCUCUCAUUGGUUACGCCAUGUUGUUAUUGGAGUCUCUGAUUGGCUACGCCAUAUUUAAAAAGAAAUUACUAAACUUUUCGAAUUUCCCCUCUAGCUGUCAUUCUGAGUAUCAGGCGGUCAUCAAAGUCGCACGAAAACGGUUUUCAACGGUCUGCAACGGGUACAACCGUAUUUCGUUACGUCUCGUCCUUCAAUCGGCUCGAAGCGCAGUCUCGUAUAGUAUAUCGGAGGAGGCCCCAGGCAAUCCCAGGCUCGCGACAGUAGGACUUAAACAUCACGACAUCGAAAUAUCGGCGACAAGGAUGCGACCAGACUCGCGCAGCGUGUCGUUUACGUUUCACCGGGAGGUGCUGGCCGUGCGAAACUCGCCGGAGAUGGUGCGGACCUCGUGGAACCUUCGCCAGCGUUUGCAAGAUCGAUUCGAGAAGGUCCCCCCCGGCGACAACGCGAAGGAGAAAUCGCCGAAGACGAAGGAAGCGACCGACCGGGCCUGGAACAACAUCAGCCUCGGCAACGUGUCCGCGGAUUCGAGACGAGCCUUACGAAACGGCGCCGAGAAGCUGUCCAGGACGAUAUCCUCCGUACGCACAACCUUCGGCACGAUAUCUCAGAAAUUUAGAAGUUCCACACGUAGACGUCAGAGGCUAGAGGAACAACAAUCGCCAUGCAACAUGCAAACACCUCAGACCCGCUCCCGCCAGCUUCUGGGUCGUACGCCGACGAAACUGUACAGUCCGUUCGGCAUCGAAUCGCCGAGACACGCCUGGGACAAGGAGAACGACGCCAGCACGCCAGUGCGAGCCUCGCCAGAAUGUAAUACGCGUUAUAUAAACUGCAGACCGUUUCGUUUUACAAAGGCCAAAGGAUUCUCUGUACUGAGAUAAAGGGGCCAGAAGAAGGGCCUCCUCCUCGAAAAAUACUCAACGUCGAUCUCUAUUUAAUUCCUAUUGAACGCAAUCGGGAUUGCGUGCCUUGUGCAACAACAUCUAUAUAACGAAUAUAAUUUAUUUACGUUUUUAAUCGCGAGAGACUCGCCGUGUACACGAGGCAAGAUUGUUUUUAUACAAGUAACAUUUAUAGAUAUGCUAAACAUAUCUUCCAUAUUCAUUCCAUCGCUUACUUUGCAUAUGUAUAUCAUGGAAGAUUCUAUUUCUACUUUUUUAUAUCUAUUUAUACAUUUAUAUAUCUCGCCCAGUAAUAUAUGCGAGAUACGGCAGGGCAAACAAUUUGUAUUCAGCGUUAAGAUAUUAAUCAGGAAAAUCAAAACGAUAACAAAGAAUCUCAAAAUUAGUGUGAAAACGUUGGAGAAGCAUUUAUUGAGACUUUGAAAGAUUUUUUCUCUUUGAUAUGCAUACAAGAAGUAAUUUCUUGGACAAUUUUUUUUUAUAAUACUCAAAAAAUGCGUUUUAAAUUUGUUAUACUGUAAAAUGAGGAUACUUUGCAAUCGUAUUAUUAUAUCGUGUGACAGAAAGUCUGUUCUUUUCAGCUGCACUAGUGCAAUAAGUUAAGGUCUUUGCACUACAAAAACAAAAAGUUUGUCGUAACCAUAAGAUCGUAAAAAAACUGACAAAUCAUGGUCGAAUAUUCUUUCUGAUAAAAGAAUAAUCGACUAUAAUUGGUCAGUUUUCUUACAACCUUACGGUUAUGAUUUUAGAACGAGACUUUUAGAAAGAGACAAACAUACUACUAGUCCUUUCACUCUAACUAACUGCACUAGUGCAACAGUGUAGUUAGUUAGAUUAAAAGGACUAGUGGAACAGUGCAGCUAAAAAGAACAGACCCAGAGUUAUUCGUUUGAGCGGAUAGAUAUGAAUGUAAAGUCUUUUGUCUUGCACAAAAUAAAAAUGCACAACUUUUUGAUUAAUGAUUAGAUCUCUAGGAUUAUAUCUCGUUUAUUCGUCUAUCCUUUCCGACGAAAUCGUCGCGCAAAGUAUUCCCAGUUUAUGUUUUAUUGAGAUAUAUAAAUAUAUAUAUUUAAUUAUAUAUUCUCUUUAGAAAAUAUAGCGGUUUUUAAAGAGAAAUCGUUGCUUUAAAAAACGAAAAUAAAGCACCUCCAAUAUUUGGCCUCGAUAUAGCCCUGCUACCACAUAUCUAUAAUCUUAAUUUAUUUAUUGGCAUAUAAUAAAAUUUUCUAUUGAAAAAGGACCAUCUGAUAUUUGUAUUCAAAAGCGAUUCAGGGCCCCUCGGAGAUACGUCUUUGAAUUGUCCCAACCUUCAGAACAUCAUGGCGUCUUGUUGCAGUAUGCAGUGUAAUCUAAAGUUGUCCAAAGCAAGUGGAUAAUCGAGCCAUUCGUUGAUCGAAUUCGCCUCGCUGCGGGACGCGAGUGCAAAGGUGUACCUUUCGCCUUUUCAGUACCUGGUUCCUGGUGAACGGUUCCUAAGAGCUUAUAAGCCCGCGAAAGCGACAUCUAAUUUGCAUAUCCGUUACAAUCGUCCCCUUGCAUCGCAACUUUUUCUCUACAGUUGUACAACCUUCGGCAGAGCAUUUUUUGCGUUAGCCAUCUUUCUUCCGUGAAUAUAUCGGGUGACAAGUUUCGAACAGAUCGGGCAACCGAUUAUAACUUGUCGCGUACAUAUAUAUAAUUGUUCGUACAUCGCUUUCGCGGCCUGUGUACCCGCGUAUUUGUCGUGACGGCGAUCGAGAGGCGACCCCGUGAAGCGACCGGAAAGCCUGACUCGAUCGAUACCAAGUAUGCGUCGAGACGGUACGAAACGCAUCGAUGUGCCCGGAAUCGGAACGCGGAGCAGCUGAACUUCCAAGGCCGGUCUGGCAUCAAUACAUAUAUAUUGCACAUUUAUUUUCUAUUUAUUUUGAGACUGCUUAGAGAGAAAGAGAGAGAGAGAGAGAGAAAGAUGAGAGCUUUCGAAAGCGCAGGCUGGCCUACGUCGAGCGUGGCAGCGUCGUUGUACCGGGAAGACAUAGUAAUGAAUUUGUUUAUAUUUUUUGUAUUUGCCGAUG